GCACCUCCCAGACUAAGUGAGUUGAUAUAAGCUAUGUUAAUUAAUGUAUAUUAAUGUAUUUUCUUGAUGCAUACCAUUACCAGUUUUCGUCUUGAUAGUGACCAUGAUGCACUAGUUAGCAAAAUGAGCUGUUCUUCAAAGUCUAAAGCAAAAGUGACUAAAAGUGCCUAGUGACCAACCAUCACCAAUUUGAGAAGACAAGUUUUGCAGACCAUCCCUUAUGAUGACCAAAAAAAAAAGCUGUUGUUUGGAAAAUGCCAUGGAAGUCUUUAUAUAUGUUAAUUUGAAUAUAUCCAGAAAGGAUUUAACAGAAUUCAUACAGAAACUUUAUAUUGCAUAUAAUGUUUCUGAGAUGGUUUCAACAACUUUAUUUAAUUAGACUGCCAUUAAUAUCAUUUUGAGAGACAUUGUUUUAUGUGACUGUGAAAUACAUCUCAAAUUGUAUAGUAGAUAUCCUUUAGGUUGUUAUUAGUCACAGUAAUUAUUAAAUAUAACUUUGUAUAACAUUUUUAAAAAAGUUUUUAAUAAAAUAAAUAAAAAAUUUGACUUUAGACAUUUAUUAUCAAUGAAUCAUAUAAACAAAAAGUUGUUCAUGUAUUGCAACCAUAAUGAUUCACAUUUGCUCAUGCUCACUUAGGUGUGUGUUGACAGUCUUAUCACAAGGCCCAACUGAAUAAAUAUGUUGAGUAGCUUAUCAUUCAAUUCACAGAACAUUGAAAAGUAUAAUAUUUCAAACCAUAUGUCAUACAAUGACAUCUCUAGUCUGUGUAAAUUGAACUACCAUAAAGCCUGUUAACAAUGAGGGGAGAAAACAAUGACAAAAUAUAUCAUAAGCAGCCUUGACAAAUUAAUAAUACAGGAUACAUUGUAACAAUUACAAUAUCAUAUACAUUUGUGUUUGGACUGAGCUUUAAAAAAUACAUUAACUUUGUUAGAACUGGUUUUAGUGCUUUCGCAAUAGUUGCCUUCAGAAAUCUUCUAGAAAUAAAUAUGUAGUGGUUCAUUGACAUAAGCCUGGAAUGCUACUUGAUAUAAUUUGAUGGCAUUUAAAACCAACACCUCAACAACAUAUUUAAAAAAAAAAAAACUUCCAGAAGAUUUUAUGUACUAAAAUUUAUAAAAAAAAUUGUUAAGAACCAACUUAAUAGAUUUCAUGUACUAAAAUUUAUCACAAAUUAUUAAGAACCAACCUAACAAUUAUAACUAACUAUGUGUGCUUCUUCAUUCUCUUUCUUCUUUUUCGUUCUCACUAUAUGUGCUGUAUGGCUUAUAUUUAUAUAAUAAUAUGUAUAUCAAUUAAUAUACAAAAAAUUGACUAUAACACCUUACAUGAUGUGUUAACAAUUAGAUAUCAGUGAUAACUACAAGAGAGCUAGUCUAGUAGCAUUUUCUUUAGCCCAACACAAUGAAGUCAAGGUGAUCAUGGCAAUAAUAUAUUUCAACCCACAAAUACAAAUGAAAGCUCUUGACUUAAAACACACAUACUUUCACACAUUAAACCAUGCAGAACUUCAAUCAACUAAAUUGCAACACUUAUUCUUCUGUUACAAGAAUCAACACUUGGUCAAGAAGAUAGGAAGAAUAAUUAUCUUGAGACAUAAACAGAACAAAAGUCUUUAAAAUGAAAAAAAAUAUUAAAAGGGCAUAAUGUAAACAGGACCAGCAUCUUCUGUAGAUUAAGAAACAUUGAUAUUUAUAUAUUAACAUAGUUAACAUUUAUCAAGAGUUCCUUCAACUGACUUUAGUACCACUGGUCAUCAAUGAAUAUCACCAUGUCUUGGUUUCUGACUUUACAGCAAAACUGUUUUCAGUUGUAACCUUAAUUAUGUUACACAAAAAAAAAAAAAAAACUCCAAAACGGUUUAAAUUUGUUUAGUACUAGCAUCACAGUGACAGUGUGUUGUACUCACAUAUAACUUGGAACACAAUAACUUAAAUAAAACAAUAUAAUUGAAAU
rnacentral:sRNA from 1 species